ACUCUAUAUCCAUUUUGUCCAAUGAAUCUCCAUCCCAAGUACUACCCAAAUAUUAUUUUAAAAAAGAAAAAAAAAAAAAGUCUUUUGGUGACUAGAAUGUGGGCUAAUCUAUGUCAUAACUGUACUGUUUGGUCAAACUGUCAUUAGGAACAAACACAACCAUUACAUUACAUCUGUUAAGGUAUAUACACUGAGAAUACACAUAUUUAAGCCUAUAUGUAAUAUGGGUGAACAGAGAGAGAGUGAG